AUCCGGAAUCAUUGGGCGUAAAGCGCCUGUAGGUUGUUUAAUAAGUCUGUUGUUAAAGACUAGGGCUCAACCCUAGAAAAGCAAUGGAAACUGUUAGACUAGAGUAUGGCAGGGGUAGAGGGAAUUUCUAGUGUAGCGGUGAAAUGCGUAGAUAUUAGAAAGAACACUGGUGGCGAAAGCGCUCUACUGGACCAUUACUGACACUCAGAGGCGAAAGCUAGGGUAGCAAAAGGGAUUAGAUACCCCUGUAGUCCUAGCCGUAAACGAUGGAUACUAGAUGUUGUAUGUUAUUUACAGUAUCGUAGCUAACGCGUUAAGUAUCCCGCCUGGGGAGUACGCUCGCAAGGGUGAAACUCAAAGGAAUUGACGGGGGCCCGCACAAGCGGUGGAGCAUGUGGUUUAAUUCGAUGCAACGCGAAGAACCUUACCAGGGCUUGACAUACUACAGAUUCUUUUGAGAGAGAGAAGUGCCUUCGGGAAUGUAGAUACAGGUGGUGCAUGGCUGUCGUCAGCUCGUGUCGUGAGAUGUUGGGUUAAGUCCCGCAACGAGCGCAACCCUUAUUUUUAGUUACCAAUUCGUUGGGUUCUCUAGAAAGACUGCCGGUGACAAACCGGAGGAAGGUGAGGAUGACGUCAAGUCAGUAUGCCCCUUAUGUCCUGGGCUACACACGUGCUACAAUGGCUAAGACAAAGAGUUGCGAGCUCGCGAG
rnacentral:rRNA from 1 species